UACGUAGGGGGCAAGCGUUGUCCGGAAUCAUUGGGCGUAAAGCGCGUGUAGGCGGUCCGGUAAGUCCGCUGUAAAAGUCGGGGGCUCAACCCUCGGAUGCCGGUGGAUACUGUCGGGCUUGAGUACGGUAGAGGCGAGUGGAAUUCCUGGUGUAGCGGUGAAAUGCGCAGAUAUCAGGAGGAACACCAAUUGCGAAGGCAGCUCGCUGGGACGUUACUGACGCUGAGACGCGAAAGCGUGGGGAGCAAACAGG
rnacentral:rRNA from 1 species